rnacentral:rRNA from 1 species
UACGUAGGGAGCAAGCGUUGUCCGGAAUCAUUGGGCGUAAAGAGCUCGUAGGCGGUUUGAUAAGUCGGGUGUGAAAUCUCCAGGCUCAACCUGGAGAGGUCACUCGAGACUGUUAUGACUAGAGUCCGGUAGGGGACCACGGAAUUCCUGGUGUAGCGGUGAAAUGCGCAGAUAUCAGGAGGAACACCAGUGGCGAAGGCGGUGGUCUGGGCCGGAACUGACGCUGAGGAGCGAAAGCGUGGGUAGCAAACAGG